rnacentral:rRNA from 1 species
GUGCACCAGGCGCGAAACCUUCACAAUGCACGAAAGUGUGAUGAGGGUACUCCGAGUGCGCAUACAUUGUAUGUGCUUUUCUGCAGCGUAAAUAGUUGCAGGAAUAAGGGCUGGGCAAGACCGGUGCCAGCCGCCGCGGUAACACCGGCAGCCCUAGUGGUGGCCGCUUUUAUUGGGCCUAAAGCGUCCGUAGCCGGACAGGCGAGUCUUUGGGUAAAUCCUACGUCUUAAGCGUGGGAAUUCUAAAGAUACUACCUGUCUUGAGGCCGGGAGAGGCUGGAGGUACUCCUGGGGUAGGGGUAAAAUCCUAUAAUCCUGGGGGGACCACCGAUGGCGAAGGCAUCCAGCUGGAACGGGCCUGACGGUGAGGGACGAAACCCAGGGGAGCGAGCCGGAUUAGAUACCCUUGUAGUCC